GCGAGUUUGGGGAGGAUGCAGAGGUUGGACGCACACGUGCUCACACACGUACGGUGGCAAGUUCAGUUAUGUGUUUAUCUACAUUAUACCUUCAUAACUACGAGGAGAUGUUCAUCAUAACAUUAUUUGGGAUAGCAAACGAUGAAACAGUUAUUGGAAACAAUCUAAAUAACCGCAAAGUUGGGCAUUCAUCAAAUAGUGUGUGUCACAUCCAAACAAUGGAAUACAAUGUAACCAUUAAAAAGAAUGAGGUUUUCCAGUAUUAACAUGGAAAAACAUCUGUGAUUUAUUGUUAGGUUUACAAAAGCAAGUUAAAGACUAUAGUAUGUAACUCAUUUAAAAAAAAAAAAAAUCAAACAUCUUUUUAAGGAUCUGUAUCUACACUCCUAAAUCCAGGUGAGACCUGUGCCUGGAUGACACAAAACAAUUCCAACAGCAUUCCCUCCGGUGAGUGAAGUGUUAUGGAUUAAGAAAAAUAAUUAUCUACAACACCUAAGCUUUGUGUUUAUAACGUAAAGGGUAAUGAGAUU